ACUGGGGUAAAAUAUUUUUCGUAGUGCUGCAACCGUUGUGCGCUGAAACCGGAAGUGACGCGCGUAUACGUGACUCCUGACCUUUCUGCUUGCUUCUUGGAAUAUGUUACUGCGCAGACUCCAACACUUAGUGUGAUUCGCUCGGGCAAGGAGGCUCGGGCUACCGUUUCGACGUACUCUCCUAGAAACUCCUCCAGCAACUCUCAAGCACAAGGAACCAAGAGUUAAAUACCAAGAGAGACUAUUGACUCAAAGGCGAACCAUGUGUUACUCAGCACCAAGAGACCACGUCUAGCGAAAUAAUAGACGUUAAACGAGGACAACAACAACAACAACAACAACAACAACUACCACCGGUGUACUACAUCUUUAAUAGACAGCAUCUUUCAUUUAACUACAGGCCAGGUACCAGUGACAACAUCUAUGCAAGAUGGAAACCUUCAUUAAAAACUGCCUGCAUUUCUAUUACCCAAUUUGUUGAUAUGAUAUUCCUAGCUUGUCUUGAAAGUUUGGAUUUUUGUAGCCUAUAUACAUAUAUAUAUCGCAAACUUCUAAAACACCACUGUACCAUGAAGAUAGUUGAACUUUUUUCCAACUUGUGUAACAGAUGAAAUCUUAUGCUAGUACUGUAACAGUUAUUUUACUAAGGAUCAAUAGUGCAGUGCACAUUGGGAUGUGGUCUGUGCUUGACAUUAAGCAUAUAUUUUGAGACUGUGUUUGGCAUUGUAGAACUUCUUAUAACGUUAGUUGUAAGAUGACAAUACUUUGGAGACAUUAGACUUUGGUCGUCUUGGUCAGAUAUUUAGAAGAUGAAAAGAAGGCUUCAAGGAACUUUGAGACAUAGAUUAAACAUUUAAAGGGUAGCUUUGUUGGAGUCAGUUGCUUGCCAGGUAUCUUGUCAAUAUUUACACUUGCUAAUAUGUCUCUCUUUGGUUGACAACAAAUUUGAAAAAGUUAUGUGUACUUGUCUAGGGGACAUAUAUGUACAUUCAAAAAUGCUGAUUCAGGAGUGUCAUUGAUGCAAGGAUUUUAUCAAGAACUAACUGUAAAAGCCACUAGGUCUGGCUCAUGAUACGAAUGAUAAAUUUAAUUUUCAAUCAUUUUGGCUUGAGCAGUAGUUAACUAGCGUACAUGUAAACAAAAGGACAUAAUGUGAAUCUUCAUAUUUAUUCAUAGUGCCUUUCGGGUGUUUUGUGAUAUGAAUGCGGAAACGUUGGUGUAAGUAUAAUUGCAUAGAUGCAUCUUUAAUGAGGACCAAUUCAUUUCUAAGAUCUCUAAUGGUCUCUAAUGCAUGUUGCAUGCCUACCUGCCAGGCUAGUGUGCUAGCUCUCAAGAUUUUAUACACUUCAGCAAGUUCAGCUGUACAAUGUACAAUGAUGUAGUGUUACAACAAUGGCUGUGAAUGACGUUUCAGAAUUACAAUGUUCAAUGAUGUAAUGAGUCUGUAAUGUCAAUAAAUUAGAUUGCUGUGAA